rnacentral:rRNA from 1 species
GUGACCUCGGAUCAUG